rnacentral:rRNA from 1 species
UACGAAGGGGGCUAGCGUUACUCGGAUUGACUGGGCGUAAAGGGCGCGUAGGCGGUUUGUACAGUCAGACGUGAAAUUCCUGGGCUCAACCUGGGGGCUGCGUUUGAUACGUGCAGUCUUGAGUUCGGAAGAGGGUCGUGGAAUUCCCAGUGUAGAGGUGAAAUUCGUAGAUAUUGGGAAGAACACCGGUGGCGAAGGGGGCGACCUGGUCCGAUACUGACGCUGAGGCGCGAAAGCGUGGGGAGCAAACAGG